rnacentral:rRNA from 1 species
GACGAAGGGGGCAAGCGUUGUUUGGAAUUACUGGGCGUAAAGCGAGUGUAGGUGGUUGUCGUAGUCAGGCGUGAAAGCCUUGAGCUCAACUCAAGAAAUGCGCUCGAUACUGGGCAGCUAGAGGACCGGAGAGGAUAGUGGAAUUCCCAGUGUAGUGGUGAAAUACGUAGAGAUUGGGAAGAACACCAGUGGCGAAGGCGGCUAUCUGGACGGUUUCUGACACUAAGACUCGAAAGCGUGGGGAGCAAACAGG